GGUGGCUCAAUGGUAGAGUACUUACCUUGCAUGAAUGAGGCCCUGGGUUCGAUUCUCAGCACCA
rnacentral:tRNA from 1 species